rnacentral:rRNA from 1 species
UCGAACGCGAAAGUCCCGCAAGGGAUGAGUAGAGUGGCAAACGGGUGAGUAACACGUGGGUGACCUGCCUUCGAGUGGGGGAUAACGUCCCGAAAGGGACGCUAAUACCGCAUAACAUCCUGCCUUUGAAGAGGCGGAGAUCAAAGCUGGGGACCGCAAGGCCUAGCGCUCAAAGAGGGGCCCGCGCCUGAUUAGCUAGUUGGUGGGGUAACGGCUCACCAAGGCAACGAUCAGUAUCCGGCCUGAGAGGGCGGACGGACACACUGGGACUGAGACACGGCCCAGACUCCUACGGGAGGCAGCAGUGGGGAAUUGUUCGCAAUGGGCGCAAGCCUGACGACGCAACGCCGCGUGGAGGGUGAANAUCUUCGGGUCGUAAACUCCUUUCGAUCGAGACGAACAGCCUCCGGGUGAACAAUCCGGAGGUUUGACGGUACCGAGAGAAGAAGCCCCGGCUAACUCCGUGCCAGCAGCCGCGGUAAUACGGGGGGGGCAAGCGUUGUUCGGAAUUACUGGGCGUAAAGGGCUCGUAGGUGGCCAACUAAGUCAGACGUGAAAUCCCUCGGCUUAACCGGGGAACUGCGUCUGAUACUGGAUGGCUCGAGUUUGGGAGAGGGACGCGGAAUUCCAGGUGUAGCGGUGAAAUGCGUAGAUAUCUGGAGGAACACCGGUGGCGAAGGCGGCGUCCUGGACCAACACUGACACUGAGGAGCGAAAGCCAGGGGAGCAAACGGGAUUAGAUACCCCGGUAGUCCUGGCCCUAAACGAUGAAUGCUUGGUGUGGCGGGUAUCGAUCCCUGCCGUGCCGAAGCUAACGCAUUAAGCAUUCCGCCUGGGGAGUACGGUCGCAAGGCUGAAACUCAAAGAA